rnacentral:lncRNA from 10 species
GCCAGCCCCGAAGAGAGGGCAGGCCCCCAUGCAGGAGAAGCCAGUGCUUAAAAGCUCACGGUGGCUUUCCAAGGAAUAGGUCCCCUAAAUGAGCUGAGAAAAGAAGCAAAAAGAUUGUGGCAGAGGGAAGAUGGUGGCAGUCUGGACUCUUGCCUGAUCUCAUACAGAUGCCACAGUUCUCCUUGCUGGGGAAAAUUGGACAUGGUCAGCAUGUGAGGAGGGCCUGGCCAGAUGGUGGGAUGCUGCAGCCAUUGUUUAUGGCCUCACAGCCACUUUCUCAGUGACUGUCAGAAAGGGCCUUCUGAAUGGAGCCUCCCUGAAUUGACUGAAGGAAAUGUGGAUGCCUGUCCUGGGUUAAGAAUAGGCAUGUUCCAGGCCGGGUGCGGUGGACUUUAAUAAAGUGGCCUUCGGCCAGGUAACAGAACAAGACUCUGUCUUUAAAAACAAAAAAAGGUGGCCUUCAACUCUAAAGAGAAGCAGGAAGAGGAAAACCCCCAUUCUGGGUGAGGUAUUUUCAGGUCUGAUUUCACCUUUGAUCAUGACACUGGCCCUACAGAGUCCAGUGGUACUAUCAGAAGGUGGAGGAAGCUUCCAUCUUGGCUCCCCCGAGGGAGAAGCCAGGCUGAGGGCUGGUCCACACCCCAAAUAAACCUCCGCAUGAAGUGUCCAGGAAGGACUCGGGAGUUCCUCUUGGCGUCUGGCCUCUGCUCCUCCCUUCCGCACUCUACCUAGGCAUGAGCAGGUGUUGACGUGGAGUCUGAGACUGGGGUUUUAAGAAGGCAGCUACGUUCUGACUCCUGCCCUACUUGUGCCGUGACCCUCCCAGAAACACCUUGAUGACCUUUGUCACUGGGAUGGUGGCAGGUAGAAGCCGUGACCCUCCCAGAAACACCCUGGUGACCUUUGUCACUGGGAUGGUGGCAGGUAUGAGCUGGCAGGUGACCACUAUGGCUGGGUUUCCCCAGGGGCUGAGUGGGGAGGCUGGACUUCCCUCAUCUGGGGAACAGAGCCACAGGACACCUGGGCUGAUGGAAGGUGCCUCACCCGAGGGCCUUCCUACCCAAUUUCACCGAAUCUGACCACUAGGAAACUGACAUCUGUAGUUUUUUUUCUUUUUUUUCUUUUUUUUUUUUUUAGGAAUCUUGCUCUGUUGCCCAGGCUGGAGUGCAGUGGCGCAAUCUCAGCUCACUGCAAGCUCUGCCUCCCGGGUUCAUGCCAUUCUCCUGCCUCAGCCUCCUGAGUAGCUGAGGCUACAGGUGCCCGCCACCAAGCCCGGCUAAUUUUUUGUAUUUUUAGUAGAGACGGGGUUUCACCGCGUUAGCCAGGAUGGUCUCGAUCUCCUGACCUCGUGAUCCGCCCGCCUCAGCCUCCCCAAGUGCUGGGAUUACAGGUGUGAGCCACCACGCCCGGCCAACAUCAGCAGACCUUUUAAGACAACUGGUCUCUACUAGUCAAAUAUGUCAAUCCUAAGAAAGACGGAAAAAAGAAGGGGUAGCUGGGACCCUCUCCUCCAUUCAAGGAGACAGGAGAGGCACAUGGGGCACCGUGUGGUCCUGGGGCUACAAAAUGCUCUGAAGACAUCUCUAGGACAACCAGAAGAUCUGGAUAUUGGAAAAUACUGUAUUGUUAUAAAAUCUGGGGGGGGGGCUGGGAUAACAGGGUUGAGUUUUGUGGCAGAACGUCCUUAGGAGACACGAGCUGAUGGAUUUAGGAGUGCAGUAUUCUGAUGAUCACAACCUACUUUCAGAUGUUUCAGAAAAGCGCGCGUGUGUGCGUGUAUGAGAAAGUGUGGGCACAGGAUAAGAGAAGGUGAAAAAUUUAGGCCAAGAGCAUGUGGGUGUCCAUGAACUAUUCCUCCACUCUCUUUGUCAUUUGAAAUCUUUCAAAAUUUCCAAAGACAGGGAGGGAAGAGGUUAAUGAGAAUGUAACUCAGUGGCACCUGCCUCCCUCUCAACUGGUGUCAUCUUCCCAAAUACUAUCACUAAUGAUUAAUAAACGGUUACUCUUUAUGGUGAUGACAAAGUCCCAUUUUUUCUUUCAGAAUGCCUUACUUAAUGGGACUUUCCUCACUGAGCCUCCUGCACCUGUGCAAAGCACCCCGCCCUUGGGACGUGGUGUGAGACCCCACUGGGAGGGGCAGCUAUGCCCGCAGAGACCACAGCACACCCGCCACUCCUUGUCAGGGUUUAUUUCAUCAGCUAACAUUCAUUCUCGACCUAGACAAAAACAAUUAGAUGAUUAUGACUU